GAGCGCGUAUGUCAACCCAAAGAUAGUAUACCUAAAGCUUUCGAACUUGAACAUUCAACUGCGUUCCUGGAAUAUGACGUUCUUUAAUCAAAAAAUUCUGAGCGUAGUGCUUUUUAUUAGCUGUUUUUGUCUGAUUGCAACUGAAUCUCGUAAGGUUAUUUACUCAAAGACCCCAGAACUGCCGAUCAAAACAAGCAUCCUCUUUAGGACGCAACUUAGAUGUGAUGGGGGUUUUAUAGAUCAUCGGAACAAAUGUCGACAGAUUGUGAAAACGUAACCUGAAUCCAGCAGCUCCCGGCGACAAAUUUUCGGUAAUAACAACUGGUUUGCAACAUUAAAAAAAUGUUUCUCAAGGUGUUACAAAAUAUGAAGAUCAAUAGAAGUGUCCGUUAUUAAACGAA